AACGAACGCUGGCGGCAUGCCUAACACAUGCAAGUCGAACGAAGCCUUCGGGCUUAGUGGCGCACGGGUGCGUAACGCGUGGGAAUCUGCCCUUAGGUACGGAAUAACUCAUGGAAACGUGUGCUAAUACCGUAUGAUGUCUUCGGACCAAAGAUUUAUCGCCUAGGGAUGAGCCCGCGUUGGAUUAGCUAGUUGGUGAGGUAAAGGCUCACCAAGGCGACGAUCCAUAGCUGGUCUGAGAGGAUGAUCAGCCACACUGGGACUGAGACACGGCCCAGACUCCUACGGGAGGCAGCAGUGGGGAAUAUUGGACAAUGGGCGAAAGCCUGAUCCAGCAAUGCCGCGUGAGUGAAGACGGCCCUAUGGGUUGUAAACUGCUUUUCCAGGGAGAGAAACUUACGCACGUGUUGCGUGACUGACGGUACCCUGGGAAUAAGCAUCGGCUAACUCCGUG
rnacentral:rRNA from 1 species